rnacentral:lncRNA from 1 species
GUUCUCCAUCACCACUGUGAUGGCAUCCGCUUCCGUGACUGUCACUGUGCACCCUCCGCCUGUCCUGGGCCCACGCAGGACCCCCAAGCGGGGCUCUGCACAGGCCAGGAGGGCUACCCAGGGACUGACCACGGGUUGUUCAUGGGUCCUCACCUGCUUUUCCAGGUCCAGGGUGAGAGGACGAAUUUGAAGGUAGAAGUCACAGAGUUGCAGGAUGUGGAGUGCGAGGAGUGGCCCCGGGGAAGCAGCUCCAACUGAGGGUGAUUAAAAUCUGAAGCAGGCCGGGCGCAGUGGCUCACAUCUGUAAUCCCAGCACUUUUGGAGGCCGAGGCAGGUGGAUCACCUGACGUCAGGAGUUCGAGACCAGCCUGGGCAACAUGGUGAAACCCCGUCUCUGCUAAAAAUACAAAGUUAGCCAGGCAUGAUGGCGAGCGCCUGUAAUCCCAGCUACUAGGGAGGCUGAGGCACGAGAAUCGCUUGAACCUGGGAGGGGGAGGUUGCAGUCACCUGAGAUUGGACCAUUGCACUCCAGCCUGGGCAACAAGAGCGAAACUCCAUCUCAGAAAAAAAAAAAAAAAAAAAAAAUCUAAAGUAAAGAGGUCAAAGAUCGGAAACCCCUGCCCCUACACCUUUCAAGAACUGCUUGGUAAGAACUGCUCGUAGUUACGGUAAAGAUGCCUUGAGCCAGGAUAGCAGUACAUUGUUGCUGUAGCUGGUUGUAUUAUUUUGUUAAACAUUUCCAUAAAGAUUUAAGAGGUGUACACAUGUGUAAUAUAGGAAGGAAGGAUGUAAAGUAGUAUGAUCUGGGGCUUCUCCACUCCUGCCCCAGAUUGUGGAGGCUGCAGUGGGGCCUCUCCUUAUUUUUGCAUUGGUCUCUGUGCCACAACCAAGCUUCACUUCGUCUUGAAUGUCAGCAUAUGUUGCUGCUGCUUAAAUAUUUUAUAAUUUCAAAAAAUUAGCUGGGCGUGGUGGUGGGCGCCAGUAGUCCCAGCUACUCGGGAGGCUGAGGCAGGAGAAUGGCCGUUAACCUGGGAGGUGGAGCUUGCAGUGAGCCGAGAUUGCGCCACCGCACUCCAGCCUGGGUGAAAGAGCAAGACUCCGUCUCAAGAAAAAUAAUAAAAUAAAAUAAAAUAAAAUAUAUUGUAUAAUUUACUUGUAUAAUUCUAUGUGAAUGUUGCUUAUGUAAUAGGAUUAUUUUGUAAAGCUUUCUGUUUAAAUAUUUUAAAUUUGCAUAUCACAACCCUGUGGUAGUAUGAAAUGUUACUGGUUUUUUUUUUUCUUUUUUCUUUUUUCUUUUUAUUUUUUAUAUUAUUAUUAUACUUUAAGUUCUAGGGUACAUGUGCACAACGUGCAGUUUUGUUACAUAGGUAUACAUGUGCCAUAUUGGUUUGCUGCACCCAUCAACUCGUCCUUUACAUUAGGUAUUUCUCCCAAUGCUAUCCCUCCCCCAGCCCCCCACCCGAAAUGUUACUGUUAACUUUCAAUCAUGUUAUGCAUCAUAACGUUUUUUGUUUAAUGAACAGAUAUGAGCAAAGGACGUUAAUCCCGGUAUCUUCUCUAGUUGUAGUUGUGUGUGGUUCUCGAGUGGCUGCGCAUGUGAACACGUGUGAUUUCUCAGUGUACUGUACUGUGAUUUGUUUUUAUUGCUUGUUUUGUUUCCCCUCAGUGUCUGUAACCCUUAGCAGGCUCUGACCUAGUCAGGCUAGAAGAAGCAUAAGGAUCUUUUAUUGCUUUGUGCUGGGUGAGGGCUGGCCCUAAACAUCUGCCUAAUCCUUUCAACGGGCCCAGGAAAAGCCAGACUGGCAUCAUGUCCACAGCAUCGCUUAAUAUCGUUGGUUGUCAUCCAGACACCUCAACUUGUGCUGCAGAGGAAAUAAGUUCCUUCUCACGGAUCAUCAUGAUGGAUAUUGAAACCUCAGGGUGCAGAACUAACACCUGUUCAUCAUCGUGGAUGUUAAAGAAUUGGGUAACAUGCCAAGCGGUAAGCCUUGGAUGGGCCAUGAGAAUAUCCUCUAAAAAGCACGCAGUAUUGUGCCCCUCUCACAACCAACACACACAUGACCUGUCCCCUGGCACCCCCAAAUUUAAGAGUGGAUUGCAAAUCUUUUGGAGACCAUGGCCCUGCUACAUGUAGAAAAACCUGUUCUGCUAUUCCUGGGCCCACAAUAAACCCAGAAAUUAUGUUUUGAGUUACUGUGAUUUAAACUCCCUCUCUUCUUAAAUGGAACAGCUCAUUGGGGCUUUCUGGAUCUGUUUCCAUUUUUCUUUAAAAAUAAAUUGUGAGCAUGCAUUGUGGUGAUGCAGAGGCAGGCAUUCUGUGAGAUACAAGCUCCAGAAGGAUUCUCCUCAAUGUGUCAGUGUUGGGAUGCACACUUCCUAAAUAAAUCAUCAUUGUCUCCGUCUUCUCCAUUAAUAGCGCUCUUUCAGUGUGACAUGGAAAAGCAGGAUGGCAUACACCCCACUGAAGGAUGUAGGCGGAGGCAGAUCUCUCAACCAGGCAUAUUGCUUCUGUACUGCUCUUCUUUUGCUCUAAGGUAUGGGUUCCCUCAACCUCUUAGCUAGAGACCAGCAAAUGUCAGGGAAGCACCCGGUGUCUGGCUCCCCUUCCAAAUCAACACCAGUGUCUUGUUACAGACAAGAAGUCAGAGGAAAGGGCGGGGUCCCAGCAGGGCAGAAGCCUAAGCUACUAUGAGGCACUCACAAGUGGCAGCUCCUGUUACUCCCUCUUAAAUUAUGUGGGAAAUCUUAACGGAAGGGCAAUGGGCCCCAGGAAUACCUGCAGCGUAGUGACCUCAGAUCCUGAUACUCACCAUGAAACUCUAAGAUACUGAUUGGAAGCGACUUGUGGCUGCUGGCUGUGUGUGUGACUCUGCCGGGGACCCUGGCAGCCCCCCUGUAGCUGUCUUGAUGCCUCUCUGUCACCCACAUCAUCUGCCUACUUAACGCCCAGCUCUGCUCAGAAAACGUUAUGUCCUGUGUCGAGGAGAGACGACGCAAAAUUCUGAAGUCCAUUUCCCUCUGGCUCCUGGCAUACCCUCGCUCCUUUUCUGAGCCCAGCUCGUGGUGUGCCAGAGCCUGUGUGGUCCCCUGACUUCUGCACAGUGUAGAACUUUCUCCAAUAGUCACAAUGGCAAAGGGAGAACUGGGGGGCUGGCAGGUAAUUAGAAUUUCUCUCCCUCUCUCUUUUAAUACUUUCAUUUUGAAUGUCUUAUUUGUUCAUGUGUAUGUUUUAACUUAAAAAAUUCUUUCUGAUAUUUUUAAUUUUGUGUCAUAAGAAUGUUUUCCUCUACAGUAUUUGUCAUACCAGUUUAUAACCACAGAAAUGCAGAGAUUUUAUUUCUAUUGGAAACAUUACUACAGCUAUGUUUUACUUUUGAACAGAAUUUUUACUUGUAUAGGGUGCUUACUAAUGUUAAAUAGUUUGGAGUAUAUAACAUUUACAUUAAGGACUCAUGGUAGGUUAAAACCCUAAAGGGUAAGGGGUUUAAAGGAAAUAAAUAUUCAAACUGAGUCUUAUUGCCAAUUUUGGUGUAAAUGAGUUUGUGUCAUUUCAAUUACAAAGAUAAAAGUAUGCCAUAUAAUUUAUGUAAAAUUUGUUUUUGUGGUGUACAUAAUAGUUAUCAAGUCUGUUGACAGAAGUAUAUUUUAAAAGAAUAUACAUGUGAUGAAUCCAUAAUAUCUGAAACUUUGCUGAGAUAUGAGUGGGGCACACUUCAUUGUAAAUUACAGCAAGGAAAGAAAUUAAGGAAAGAAGUUAAGAGAGUGAGAGUGAGUGGAUAUUCACACAAUUGUGAAAUGUUUAUUAGUUACCUUUUGUGAUGUAGUGUGGUUCUCAUUUUAAACCUUGGAAGGUGAAAAUGUACAAACUAUAAAUAUGAAUGUUCAAACACUGACAGAAAUUCUAAUAUGAAUUAAAAAAUAACGAAAAAACAACAAUAUAUUUUAUCUUACUAAUU